AAUAGAUACCCUGGUAGUCCACGCCGUAAACGAUGAGUGCUAGAUGUUAGGGGGGUCCUACCCCUUAGUGCUGAAGUUAACACAUUAAGCACUCCGCCUGGGGAGUACGACCGCAAGGUUGAAACUCAAAGGAAUUGACGGGGGCCCGCACAAGCAGUGGAGCAUGUGGUUUAAUUCGAAGCAACGCGAAGAACCUUACCAGGUCUUGACAUCCUCUGACAGCCCUAGAGAUAGGGCGUUCCCCUUCGGGGGACAGAGUGACAGGUGGUGCAUGGUUGUCGUCAGCUCGUGUCGUGAGAUGUUGGGUUAAGUCCCGCAACGAGCGCAACCCUUGAUGUUAGUUGCCAGCAUUAAGUUGGGCACUCUAACGUGACUGCCGGUGACAAACCGGAGGAAGGUGGGGAUGACGUCAAAUCAUCAUGCCCCUUAUGACCUGGGCUACACACGUGCUACAAUGGGCGGCACAAAGGGCAGCGAAACCGUGAGGUCGAGCGAAUCCCAUAAAGCCGCUCUCAGUUCGGAUUGCAGG
rnacentral:rRNA from 1 species